UUUUCAGUCUUAGAAUGGAGAGGGCAAAGAACAUGGAGCAACUUCACCCAAUAUUAUGUUCAUCUUUUCCGGAGGGCCACCAUGAAAAUACUGUGAACUAUGCUAGUGAAGCAAGCACUGAAGGAUCGGUCACUAGGAUUAAUGUGGAUGAAAGUAGUCAAGAAUGUGUUUGUGGAACUAGAGUCGUGAUACAAACUGCAUGGACAAGGAACAACCCUGGUUGACAAUUUUAUGUGUGUAUAAACUACUCGGCUAGUGACCAUAGUGGAUGUGGUCACUUUAGCUGGUGUUAAUCAAAAUUGUCGAAUAGGUUGACAGAGACAUUAUACAAAUUUCUCACUCGUCUUGAGGAGGCUGAGAAGAAAAAUGGGGAGUUGGUGGUGACUUGCAAACGACUUAAGAUAUUUAUCAUUUCCUUGUCAGUUUGUUUUCUAUGUAUUUUAUUGUUCAUUUAGGUUCAGUGUGGUAGGCCCUUCGACUAAGUUAUUGUCAACUACUACUAUUUAAUCCUCCCAAUUUCAUAUAUUUAAUCCAAAGUUUAGUACUUAUGUCUGACUUUUGUUUAUAUUAUACAUGUGUUGCAUAGAUUCCAAAAGUGUUUAUGCAGUCUAAAAACUAACAUGAUUUAAUGGAA